AUGGCCUUCCAAUAUCAAGGAAAACGAGUAACAUUACAAGGAACUGCUCCAGAAGAGUUUGCUCUCACAGUGCUGUCUAUUUGUAUAGACCUUCCAGAAGAGGAAUCCCAACAUCUGCCUGAAGAAAUUAAACAAGUCCUAGAGAAAUACUCAGAAGUUUUUGCAGCUCCUAAACAAUUGCCACCUAGGAGGCAUUGUGAUCACAGAAUUCCCUUAAUUCCUGGAGCUUGCCCAGUGGCAAAAAGACCUUACGGAAUUCCACCUCAUUUGAAGGAUGAGUUGGAAAAACAAAUUGCUGAAAUGCUGCAGUCUGGAGUUAUUCGGCCAAGUAGCAGCCCUUUUCAUCCCCAGUUCUCAUGGUGA
rnacentral:rRNA from 1 species